rnacentral:rRNA from 1 species
CCUACGGGAGGCAGCAGUGAGGAAUAUUGGUCAAUGGACGGAAGCCUGAACCAGCCAUGUAGCGUGCGGGAUGACGGCCCUACGAGUCGUAAACCGCUUUUGCACGAGGGUAACACCCUCCACGUGUGGAGGUCUGCAAGUACCGUACGAAUAAGGACCGGCUAAUUCCGUGCCAGCAGCCGCGGUAAUACGGAGGGCGCGAGCGUUAUCCGGAUUCAUUGGGCUUAAAGGGAGCGUAGGCGGGUGUUCAAGUCAGCGGUAAAAUCCCGGGGCUCAACCGCGGCCCGCCGUUGAAACUGGACGGCUGGAGUUCGCGAGAGGCACGCGGAAUGCGCGGUGUAGCGGUGAAAUGCAUAGAUAUCACGAGGAACCCCGAUUGCGAAGGCAGCGUGCCGGCGCGCGACUGACGCUGAGGCUCGAAGGCGUGGGUAUCAAACAGGAUUAGAUACCCUGGUAGUC